UCUCCGUUGGUGAACCAGCGGAGGGAUCAUUACAGAGUUGAAAAACUCCAACCCCUGUGAACAUACCUUUACUGUUGCUUCGGCGGACGAUGGUCCCCCCCCCGGGGGGCCGGACGCCGCCGGAGGUUACAAACCCUGAAUUUUAGUGUAUCUCUGAGUACAAAACCAAAUAAUUAAAACUUUCAACAACGGAUCUCUUGGUUCUGGCAUCGAUGAAGAACGCAGCGAAAUGCGAUAAGUAAUGUGAAUUGCAGAAUUCAGUGAAUCAUCGAAUCUUUGAACGCACAUUGCGCCCGCCGGUAUUCCGGCGGGCAUGCCUGUCCGAGCGUCAUUUCACCACUCAAGCCCAGCUUGGUGUUGGGGCACCCGGCCGCCCGGCGGUCGGGGCCCCCAAGAACAUCGGCGGUCUCGCUAGGACCCUGAACGCAGUAACUCGCGGUAAAACGCGCUUCGUUCGGUGGCUUCCCGGCGGGCUCCAGCCGCUAAACCCCCUAAACUUUUUAGGUUGACCUCGGAUCAGGUAGGAAUACCCGCUGAACUUAA
rnacentral:rRNA from 1 species